CCUACGGGGGGCAGCAGUGGGGAAUAUUGGACAAUGGGCGAAAGCCUGAUCCAGCCAUGCCGCGUGUGUGAAGAAGGCCUUCGGGUUGUAAAGCACUUUCAGUGGGGAAGAAAGCCUUGGGGCUAAUACCCUCGAGGAAGGACAUCACCCACAGAAGAAGCACCGGCUAACUCCGUGCCAGCAGCCGCGGUAAUACGGAGGGUGCGAGCGUUAAUCGGAAUUACUGGGCGUAAAGCGCGCGUAGGCGGUCUGAUAAGCCGGUUGUGAAAGCCCCGGGCUCAACCUGGGAACGGCAUCCGGAACGGUCAGGCUAGAGGGCAGGAGAGGAAGGUAGAAUUCACGGUGUAGCGGUGAAAUGCGUAGAGAUCGGGAGGAAUACCAGUGGCGAAGGCGGCCUUCUGGACUGACACUGACGCUGAGGUGCGAAAGCGUGGGUAGCAAACAGGAUUAGAUACCCCAGUAGUC
rnacentral:rRNA from 1 species